rnacentral:rRNA from 1 species
AACAAACGCUGGCGGCGCGUUUUAAGCAUGCAAGUCGGACGGCAAGAGUUGUAGCAAUAUGACUCCUAGAGUGGCGAACGGGUGAGUAACACGUAGGUGAUCUACCCUUGGAUGGGGGAUAGUCCGUGGAAACACGGGGUAAUACCGCAUGAGGCCUUGUGGGUGGAGCCAUGAGGUGAAAGGUGCAAUUGCACCGUCUGGGGAUGAGCCUGCGGUCCAUUAGGUAGUGGGCGGGGUAAGAGCCCACCAAGCCGACGAUGGAUAGCCGGCCUGAGAGGGUGUACGGCCACACUGGGAAUGAGACACGGUCCAGACUCCUACGGGAGGCAGCAGCUAAGAAUCUUCCGCAAUGGGGGAAACCCUGACGGAGCGACGCCGCGUGGACGAUGGAGGCCGUAAGGUUGUAAAGUCCUUUUCCUGGUGAAGAACGACUGGAGGAGUGGAAAGCCUCUGGGAUGACGUUAGCCAGGGAAUAAGCCCCGGCCAAUUACGUGCCAGCAGCCGCGGUAAAAC